GGGCGGGUAGCUCAGUCGGGAGAGCGUCGGCCUUACAAGCCGAAUGUCGCAGGUUCGAACCCUGUCCCGCCCACCA
rnacentral:tRNA from 1 species